UCAACAUCCCUCAUCAUAGGAGUAUGUGUUUCAAUUUGCUUUAAACGUGUACAUCGCAACGAAUGGGUGAUAAAUAACCUGUACCAACAGCUACCGUUCUCCCCGAGGCUGAAGGCGGAGCCAAGCCGAGCCGAACCGAACCACACCACCGGUCCCACCCAUCUGUGGCGGCCCCUGUGAUUGACAUUCCAGUAGCCAGAGGAACGCUGCCCUGAGAGUUACGCGAGGUGGGCGGGCUGGGGAGCCAAUCGCAGAGGGGCGCAGGCGGGACUUCCGUUGUUACUGGCUGGCUUCACCGGCACGAGCGGGAGCGGUUGUCCGGCGCGUUCUAAACCAUCCUCGCCCUGAAAAUGCACGCGGAUGCAGUCAAUUUUCCACUAACUUCUCACCUGUCUACACUGGCCAAUAUUCACAAGAUUUACCACACCUUAAACAAACUGUGUCUCCCACCCAUCCUCCUCCUCUAACCAAAAAAC